AGGGCAACCUGGCAGCAGGAUUACCCAAAUGUAAUAACUGAAACAGUGAAACACGAAGAACAUCAUUGUGUGCUAAUACAACACUUAUGCAAAAGAUGUUCUCAUAUUCUUCCCACUACUCUCGUGACUCGUCUCAUGGAUACAAAGAGGGAAGCCCCUGACAAGGAGAUAAAGUCAACUGUCUCACCAACAGACCAGACAGUAUUCACCCAAAUACCCCAUUGAUGAAGAAAAGAUACUAUAUUUAGGAAGAAGAAUGUAGAAGAUGGAGAGAUUUUUUUUCGCUAGAUGCCCCCGUACACCUGCCAGCCAUCAAGCACCCCAUCAGACUUGUGCUCAUUUAUUCUCCUGUGGUGUGGAGUUUUAAGAUCCGUUAGGCUGAGACAUCUAGAGGAGGUAUCAAGGAUUUUGUGUUCUGACAAUGAGAGCAUUUUCCCUAGACUUUCUCCUGGGUGAAGGGGCAAGCUACCCACAUCAAUGUCAGGAAUUGCAAUGCCCUUCCCCCUGCAACUGCAUGCAACAUGGACUCAUGAGCCAUAAGCCCACAUUCAGGAUGCCCAAUGCAAUGAUGCUCCCUUCUCUGAAGGGCUGCACCUACAUAUGUCCUGACCUGCCCUGACAGCCUCCCUCAGGAUGGGAAUACCCAUCAUCCACUACCAGAAGCACCCAAAUAACUAGUCAAACUCAAAUCACCUGGGCAGAAAUCAGAGCAUUAUCCAAUGGUGGCAAAGAUAGUAAGAAUCUUGACCUGAAACUCUGAAUUCAGGACUUACCUGCUCCUACAGUCCUGUUUCUUGCAAGUCCCCUCCUAGCCAUUCCUCCAUGCCCCUCUUUCUGGAAGAGCACCCAAGCAUACAGUCCUCCCUCUCCAUGCAUGGAUCAAACACGGAUCAGAAGUUUGCCAAAUGAUACAGGGCUGUCAGGGAUCAGAACACUGUGGCUAGUGGUGUUUUUCUUUUAACCCUAAACCCCAUCCCAUACAUACUGAUAAUGUUAUCAAGCUGGGCAAGCAAUGGGGAGUACCUCUGAACAUGAGCCCUGCCUCGGGUCCACAGGGUGGCCACAGUUUCUCUCAUCCUCCUAUCCACCCAACCCGGUAUCAUCUCUCUGAACUCCUGCCUCUUCCAGAGUCCUAGUAAAGAGACAACCGGCAUGGUCCCUCCCCUCUAGGAUAAGCAUGCCCAUUUCCCUUACCAGUACAAUCAGAUGCCUGAGUCACUAAUAAAACUCAUGUCACCUCAGGGUUUUAUCACUCUGCAUCACCAGGCUUGCCACUGAAAAGAAAGAUGCUGUAAACUGUGGUAUG